rnacentral:pre_miRNA from 1 species
CACUCACUCAACCUGGGUGUGAUGUUUUCUAUUAAAAUCCAUCACAACCUCCUUGAGUGAGCGA